AUAUAUAGGAAAGGAAUCCAAAUCUGCCGAAUCGCUCAUGUUAUGAUCUUCUACAUCCUAGGUCUCUGCGUUCCGUCAUCUGGCUUAUGUUCUUCAUGUAGCAUUCAGAUCGAAUGA
rnacentral:rRNA from 1 species